rnacentral:rRNA from 1 species
CUUGGUCAUUUAGAGGAAGUAAAAGUCGUAACAAGGUUUCCGUAGGUGAACCUGCGGAAGGAUCAUUCACAAUGAGUGUUUUAUGGCACUCUUUAAAAAUCCAUAUCCACCUUGUGUGCAAUGUUUGUUGGGAGAGAGGCAACUCUUUCCCUUCACAAAUAUCAACCUAUAUCUUUAACAACAUUCGUCUGAUAACAUAUUAUGAAUAUACUUAAUUCAAAAUAUAACUUUCAACAACGGAUCUCUUGGCUCUCGCAUCGAUGAAGAACGCAGCGAAAUGCGAUACGUAAUGUGAAUUGCAGAAUUCAGUGAAUCAUCGAAUCUUUGAACGCAUAUUGCGCUCUUUGGUAUUCCGAAGAGCAUGCUUGUUUGAGUAUCAGUAAACACCUCAACCUCCUCUUGUUUUUUCAAAAGGAGGGUGGACUUGAGCUAUCCCAACAACCUUCACCGGUAGGCGGGCGGCUUGAAAUGCAGGUGCAGCUGGACCUUUAUCUGAGCUAAAAGCAUAUCUAUUUAGUCCUCGUCAAACAGGAUUAUUACUAUUGCUGCAGCUAACAUAAAGGAUAAUUGUCCUCAUUGCUGACUGAUGCAGGAUUUUACGACACUUUAUGUGUUGUUCAACUCGAUCUCAAAUCAAGUAAGACUACCCGCUGAACUUAAGCAUAUCAAUAAGCGGAGGA